AACCCAGACCGCCAGCUAAGGUCCCAAAGUAUUGCUAAGUGGGAAACGAUGUGGGAAGGCUCAGACAGCUAGGAUGUUGGCUUAGAAGCAGCCAUCAUUUAAAGAAAGCGUAAUAGCUCACUAGUCGAGUCGGCCUGCGCGGAAGAUGUAACGGGGCUAAGCAAUACACCGAAGCUGCGGCAAURUCUUUUAGACAUUGGGUAGGGGAGCGUUCUGUAAGCCGUUGAAGGUGAAUCGUAAGGUUUGCUGGAGGUAUCAGAAGUGCGAAUGCUGACAUGAGUAACGACAAAGGGGGUGAAAAACCUCCUCGCCGGAAGACCAAGGGUUCCUGUCCAACGUUAAUCGGGGCAGGGUGAGUCGACCCCUAAGGUGAGGCCGAAAGGCGUAAUCGAUGGGAAACGGGUUAAUAUUCCCGUACUUCUGACUAUUGCGAUGGGGGGACGGAGAAGGCUAGGUGGGCCAGGCGACGGUUGUCCUGGUUCAAGUGCGUAGGCUUGAGAGUUAGGUAAAUCCGGCUCUCUCUAAGGCUGAGACACGACGUCGAGCUACUACGGUAGUGAAGUCAUUGAUGCCAUGCUUCCAGGAAAAGCCUCUAAGCUUCAGAUAGUCAGGAAUCGUACCCCAAACCGACACAGGUGGUCGGGUAGAGAAUACCAAGGCGCUUGAGAGAACUCGGGUGAAGGAACUAGGCAAAAUGGUACCGUAACUUCGGGAGAAGGUACGCUCUUGAUGGUGAAGUCCCUCGCGGAUGGAGCUGACGAGAGUCGCAGAUACCAGGUGGCUGCAACUGUUUAUUAAAAACACAGCACUGUGCAAAAUCGCAAGAUGACGUAUACGGUGUGACGCCUGCCCGGUGCCGGAAGGUUAAUUGAUGGGGUUAGCGCAAGCGAAGCUCUUGAUCGAAGCCCCGGUAAACGGCGGCCGUAACUAUAACGGUCCUAAGGUAGCGAAAUUCCUUGUCGGGUAAGUUCCGACCUGCACGAAUGGCGUAAUGAUGGCCACGCUGUCUCCACCCGAGACUCAGUGAAAUUGAAAUCGCUGUGAAGAUGCAGUGUACCCGCGGCUAGACGGAAAGACCCCGUGAACCUUUACUACAGCUUGGCACUGAACAUUGAACCUACAUGUGUAGGAUAGGUGGGAGGCUAUGAAGACGUGACGCCAGUUGCGUUGGAGCCGUCCUUGAAAUACCACCCUUGUAUGUUUGAUGUUCUAACUUAGACCCAUUAUCUGGGUUGAGGACAGUGCCUGGUGGGUAGUUUGACUGGGGCGGUCUCCUCCCAAAGAGUAACGGAGGAGCACGAAGGUGGGCUAAUCACGGUUGGACAUCGUGAGGUUAGUGCAAUGGCAUAAGCCCGCUUAACUGCGAGAAUGACGGUUCGAGCAGGUGCGAAAGCAGGUCAUAGUGAUCCGGUGGUUCUGUAUGGAAGGGCCAUCGCUCAACGGAUAAAAGGUACUCCGGGGAUAACAGGCUGAUACCGCCCAAGAGUUCAUAUCGACGGCGGUGUUUGGCACCUCGAUGUCGGCUCAUCACAUCCUGGGGCUGAAGUCGGUCCCAAGGGUAUGGCUGUUCGCCAUUUAAAGUGGUACGCGAGCUGGGUUUAGAACGUCGUGAGACAGUUCGGUCCCUAUCUGCCGUGGGCGUUGGAAGAUUGAAGGGGGCUGCUCCUAGUACGAGAGGACCGGAGUGGACGAACCUCUGGUGUUCGGGUUGUGUCGCCAGACGCAUUGCCCGGUAGCUAAGUUCGGAAUUGAUAAGCGCUGAAAGCAUCUAAGCGCGAAGCGAGCCCUGAGAUGAGUCUUCCCUGACAGUUUAACUGUCCUAAAGGGUUGUUCGAGACUAGAACGUUGAUAGGCAGGGUGUGUAAGCGUUGUGAGGCGUUGAGCUAACCUGUACUAAUUGCCCGUGAGGCUUAACCAUACAACACCCAAGGGGUUUUGUA
rnacentral:rRNA from 1 species